UACGUAGGGGGCAAGCGUUGUCCGGAAUCAUUGGGCGUAAAGAGCGUGUAGGCGGCUUGGCAAGUCUGGUGUGAAAUCUUGCGGCUCAACCGCAAGCGGUCACUGGAAACUGCCUCGCUAGAGUCCGGAAGAGGAGAGCGGAAUUCCUGGUGUAGCGGUGGAAUGCGCAGAUAUCAGGAAGGACACCCGUGGCGAAGGCGGCUCUCUGGGACGGUACUGACGCUGAGACGCGAAAGCGUGGGGAGCAAACAGG
rnacentral:rRNA from 1 species